GACGAACGCUGGCGGCGUGCUUAACACAUGCAAGUCGAACGGAAAGGCCCUGCUUUUGUGGGGUGCUCGAGUGGCGAACGGGUGAGUAACACGUGAGUAACCUGCCCUUGACUUUGGGAUAACUUCAGGAAACUGGGGCUAAUACCGGAUAGGAGCUCCUGCUGCAUGGUGGGGGUUGGAAAGUUUCGGCGGUUGGGGUUGGACUCGCGGCUUAUCAGCUUGUUGUUGAGGUUGUGGUUUACCAAGGCUUUGACGGGUAGCCGGCCUGAGAGGGUGACCGGCCACAGUGGGACUGAGAUACGGCCCAGACUCCUACGGGAGGCAGCAGUGGGGAAUAUUGCACAAUGGGCGGAAGCCGGAUGCAGCAACGCCGCGUGCGGGAUGACGGCCUUCGGGGUGUAAACCGCUUGCGCCUGGGACGAAGCGUGAGUGACGGUAAUGGGUAAAGAAGCACCGGCUAACUACGUG
rnacentral:rRNA from 1 species